rfam:Gossypium raimondii chromosome 4, whole genome shotgun sequence.
AAACCAUGCAUCGGGCAUUUUCUAUUUAGUUCCUUGAAACGCUCCCAUGUUUCGUAUAAUGUAUCAUCUUCAGGUUGCCUAAAAAAUGUAAUGGUGUCCCUAAUCUU